rnacentral:rRNA from 1 species
AAUGAACGUUGGCGGCGUGGAUUAGGCAUGCAAGUCGUACGCACCGCAAAGUGAGUGGCGCAAGGGUGAGUAAGGCGACGGUAACCAACCCCAUGACUGGGUAUAGCCGCGGGAAACUGCGGGUAAUCCCCAGCGAUGUCACGAGGGGGCAUCUCUUUGUGACCAAAGCUCCGGCGUCGUGGGACGGGCCGUCGUGGUAUUAGGUUGUUGGCGGGGUAACGGCCCACCAAGCCGAUGAUGCCUACCGGGCGUGCGAGCGUGGCCCGGCACACUGGGACUGAGACACUGCCCAGACUCCUACGGGAGGCUGCAGUCGAGAAUCUUCGGCAAUGGGCGCAAGCCUGACCGAGCGACGCCGCGUGGAGGAUGAAGGCCUUCGGGUUGUAAACUCCUGUCGAGGGGGAGGAAGGGGAAACCUUGACCGAUCCCUGGAGGAAGCACGGGCUAAGUUCGUGCCAGCAGCCGCGGUAAGACGAACCGUGCGAACGUUAUUCGGAAUCACUGGGCUUAAAGCGCGUGUAGGCGGAUGGGAACGUCGGAUACUGAAAGCCCCCGGCUCAACCGGGGAAGUGGUGCCGAAACGACCUGUCUGGAGGGACGUAGGGGGAUCUGGAACUUCCGGUGGAGCGGUGAAAUGCGUUGAGAUCGGAAGGAACGCCCGUGGCGAAAGCGAGGUCCUGGACGUCUGCUGACGCUGAGACGCGAAAGCUAGGGGAGCAAACGGGAUUAGAUACCCCGGUAGUCCUAGCCGUAAACGAUGGGCACUGGGUAGGGGGCUCGCCGAUGGGCUCUCUGCCGUAGCGAAAGCGUGAAGUGCCCCGCCUGGGGAGUAUGGUCGCAAGGCUG